UACGGCCAUAGAAUCCGGAAAACGCCCCAUCCCGUCAGCUUUGGGCAGCUAAGCUGGAUGUCGCUCAAUUAGUACCAAGCUGGGGGACCACUUGGGAACCCCGAGUGCUGUAGUU